AUACGCGAGGCAGCAGCGGGGAAUAUUGGACAAUGGGCGCAAGCCUGAUCCAGCCAUGCCGCGUGCAGGAUGAAGCAUCUAUGGUGUGUAAACUGCUUUUGUACGAGAAGAAACACUCCAACGUGUUGGAGCUUGACGGUAUCGUAAGAAUAAGGAUCGGCUAACUCCGUGCCAGCAGCCGCGGUAAUACGGAGGAUCCAAGCGUUAUCCGGAAUCAUUGGGUUUAAAGGGUCCGUAGGCGGGCUUGUAAGUCAGUGGUGAAAUCUCUCGGCUCAACCGGGAAAUGGCCAUUGAUACUGCAAGUCUUGAAUUAUUAGGAAGUAACUAGAAUAUGUAGUGUAGCGGUGAAAUGCUUAGAGAUUACAUGGAAUACCAAUUGCGAAGGCAGGUUACUACUAAUUGAUUGACGCUGAUGGACGAAAGCGUGGGUAGCGAACAGGAUUAGAUACCCUAGUAC
rnacentral:rRNA from 1 species